CCUACGGUGUGCUGCAGUCGAGAAUCAUUCACAAUGGGGGAAACCCUGAUGGUGCGACGCCGCGUGGGGGAAUGAAGGUCUUCGGAUUGUAAACCCCUGUCAUGUGGGAGCAAAUUAAAAAGAUAGUACCACAAGAGGAAGAGACGGCUAACUCUGUGCCAGCAGCCGCGGUCAUACGUAGGAUCCGAGCAUUAUCCGGAGUGACUGGGUGUAAAGAGUUGCGUAGGUGGCAUAAUAAGUAGCUAGUGAAAUCUGGUGGCUCAACCAUUCAGACUAUUAGCUAAACUGUUAAGCUCGAGACCGUUAGGGGUAACUGGAAUUUCUAGUGUAGGAGUGAAAUCCGUAGAUAUUAGAAGGAACACCAAUAGCGUAGGCAGGUUGCUGGGACGGUUCUGACACUAAGGCACGAAAGCGUAGGGAGCAAACGGGAUUAGAUACCCUAGUAGUC
rnacentral:rRNA from 1 species